AGGUGAAGUUCGCCCAUGCCGGCGAUGAUCGUCUGGCCGGACUCCUCGUCGGUCUUGACGCGGAAGGAC
rnacentral:sRNA from 1 species